CGGACGGGUGAGGAAUACAUCGGAAUCUACUCUGUCGUGGGGGAUAACGUAGGGAAACUUACGCUAAUACCGCAUACGACCUACGGGUGAAAGCAGGGGAUCUUCGGACCUUGCGCGAUUGAAUGAGCCGAUGUCGGAUUAGCUAGUUGGCGGGGUAAAGGCCCACCAAGGCGACGAUCCGUAGCUGGUCUGAGAGGAUGAUCAGCCACACUGGAACUGAGACACGGUCCAGACUCCUACGGGAGGCAGCAGGC
rnacentral:rRNA from 1 species